GUCUCCCACAGCUGCUUGUUGGCCUCACCGCCGACGGCGCCGUUGCUAACAUUACAGACACGACCGGUGCUGCUGCCCUGGUGGAGCUUGUGAGGCAUACGCAUGUGAAAAACGCGGCACUCACCUUGAUCAGCGAUCACCAAGGGCAUGUAAUCCUUGUUCCUAAUGGGCCUUGAAAAAAAAUAGUGAGUUUGAGUGUGAGAUCGAAGACGAUGUACUGCCAGCUUUUUUACUCUCUUUGUGGUGGUGAUAGCUCCAGAGAAUAAACAUGGAUAUGAAGAAACAAAGCCUUGUCUGUAAAAGACCCAUUCUUCCAUUUUUGAGACCCUGAGUUUGGUUGCAGAUCAGAAAUGGUGUACCUUUGUGUCUGCAGAGUCGGCGAGCACCAAAUUAGGGAUUUUGGUCUCUUUUCUUUCUCG
rnacentral:misc_RNA from 1 species